AUUGAACGCUGGCGGCAGGCCUAACACAUGCAAGUCGAGCGGAUGAAGGGAGCUUGCUCCUGGAUUCAGCGGCGGACGGGUGAGUAAUGCCUAGGAAUCUGCCUGGUAGUGGGGGAUAACGUCCGGAAACGGGCGCUAAUACCGCAUACGUCCUGAGGGAGAAAGUGGGGGAUCUUCGGACCUCAUGCUAUCAGAUGAGCCUAGGUCGGAUUAGCUAGUUGGUGGGGUAAAGGCCUACCAAGGCGACGAUCCGUAACUGGUCUGAGAGGAUGAUCAGUCACACUGGAGCUGAGACACGGUCCAGACUCCUACGGGAGGCAGCAGUGGGGAAUAUUGGACAAUGGGCGAAAGCCUGAUCCAGCCAUGCCGCGUGUGUGAAGAAGGUCUUCGGAUUGUAAAGCACUUUAAGUUGGGAGGAAGGGCAGUAAGUUAAUACCUUGCUGUUUUGACGUUACCAACAGAAUAAGCACCGGCUAACUUCGUG
rnacentral:rRNA from 1 species